UGAGGUUACGGAUUGUUUCAUUUAAAAGUUCUGAUCUUAUCUCCGGGAUUUCUGCAGAAGAUAUUUAGUUAUCGAUGAUUUUCUAUCGCCGAGGCUACAAAAAUCGGCAAUCUGAACAAUAUAUAUACUUUGUGACGUCAGUCACUCAUUUCGGAGAGAAAAUAAUGGCGGACAGUGUUCGCUUCGAAUGAAAUUAUCUGUAUUUCUUUGGUUUUGUGGAGCAUUUAGGAUUAUUUAAACACAACAAUAUAAUGGAUGUACAGGCCAUCGUUGCAGUUCCCUUCCUUGAAGACUCUGUGGUGAUUGAUUGAAGUAUAUGAUCAGUCUUGACAAUCAAAACCAUGCUGAUCUUGUACUACUUUCUGUUGCUACUUUUAAUCAUCAUCUUAUCCACAAGAACGUUUUUUGUUAAACUGUUAUUUUAAAAAAAAAAAAAAAAAAUCUGAUGAUCAAUUUUAA